GACGAACGCUGGCGGCGUGCUUAACACAUGCAAGUCGAACGGAAAGGCCCUGCUUUUGUGGGGUGCUCGAGUGGCGAACGGGUGAGUAACACGUGAGUAACCUGCCCUUGACUUUGGGAUAACUUCAGGAAACUGGGGCUAAUACCGGAUAGGAGCUCCUGCUGCAUGGUGGGGGUUGGAAAGUUUCGGCGGGUGGGGAUGGACUCGCGGCUUAUCAGCUUGUUGGUGGGGUAGUGGCUUACCAAGGCUUUGACGGGUAGCCGGCCUGAGAGGGUGACCGGCCACCUUGGGACUGAGAUACGGCGCAGACUCCUACGGGAGGCAGCAGUGGGGAAUAUUGCACAAUGGGCGGAAGCCUGAUGCAGCAACGCCGCGUGCGGGAUGACGGCCUUCGGGUUGUAAACCGCUUUCGCCUGUGACGAAGCGUGAGUGACGGUAAUGGGUAAAGAAGCACCGGCUAACUACGUG
rnacentral:rRNA from 1 species